UACGUAGGGUGCAAGCGUUGUCCGGAAUUAUUGGGCGUAAAGAGCUCGUAGGCGGUUUGUCGCGUCUGCUGUGAAAACCCGAGGCUCAACCUCGGGCCUGCAGUGGGUAUGGGCAGACUAGAGUGCGGUAGGGGAGAUUGGAAUUCCUGGUGUAGCGGUGGAAUGCGCAGAUAUCAGGAGGAACACCAAUGGCGAAGGCAGAUCUCUGGGCCGUAACUGACGCUGAGGAGUGAAAGCAUGGGGAGCGAACAGGA
rnacentral:rRNA from 1 species